GUACACUCCUACGGGAGGCAGCAGUGGGGAAUAUUGGACAAUGGGCGCAAGCCUGAUCCAGCCAUGCCGCGUGAGUGAUGAAGGCCCUAGGGUUGUAAAGCUCUUUCACCGGUGAAGAUAAUGACGGUAACCGGAGAAGAAGCCCCGGCUAACUUCGUGCCAGCAGCCGCGGUAAUACGAAGGGGGCUAGCGUUGUUCGGAUUUACUGGGCGUAAAGCGCACGUAGGCGGACUAUUAAGUCAGGGGUGAAAUCCCGGGGCUCAACCCCGGAACUGCCUUUGAUACUGGUAGUCUUGAGUUCGAGAGAGGUGAGUGGAAUUCCGAGUGUAGAGGUGAAAUUCGUAGAUAUUCGGAGGAACACCAGUGGCGAAGGCGGCUCACUGGCUCGAUACUGACGCUGAGGUGCGAAAGCGUGGGGAGCAAACAGGAUUAGAAACCCCUGUAGUCC
rnacentral:rRNA from 1 species